rnacentral:rRNA from 1 species
GGUGACCCAAACCCUCACCAGAGUAGCAAUUGGAGGGCAAGUCUGGUGCCAGCAGCCGCGGUAAUUCCAGCUCCAAUAGCGUAUAUUAAACUUGUUGCAGUUAAARAGCUCGUAGUUGUAUUUUUGCGUUGACGGUUUGACCAUUUGGUUGGUUAUUUCGUUUUCGCUUUUGGGAAUUUCCCUUUUUACUUUGAGAAAAUUAGAGUGUUUCAAGCAGACUUUUGUCUUGAAUACUUCAGCAUGGAAUAAUAGAGUAGGACUUUGGUUCUAUUUUGUUGGUUAUUGAACCUUAGUAAUGGUUAAUAGGAACGGUUGGGGGCAUUC